rnacentral:lncRNA from 1 species
GUAAAGGAUUGAAUGACGGACAAGUGGGGCCAUGGAUAAAAAUGGUUCUGUUAAAAUUAGGCUAAGAAUGCAAUAGAGAAAUGAGCUUCCUUUUAAUGAAAUAGUUAGGAAUAAAAACGCUUUUAUAUUUGAAUUGCUGUCCCCUCUCAUGGAUAAAACCCCCUGGUGAGCAAUCACAGCAGAAGUGUGAAAGCCGGGAUCCAUUGGCUUCCACAGUAGACUUAAUGUUCAUUUCCUCCUCUCUUUCAGGACAGGAGAAAUCAUUAAGCUCCUCCCAUCUUUGCCAGAAGCUUCAGUGUUUAAGCAGCCAGAGCCAAGAGGCUUCAGCACCAGGGGUGUGCACUGGAGGGCUCCUGGUCCUGCCCACGCUGUGGGGUAAGUCAGAGGGACGCAGGGUUCCCCUUUUCCUCUCUGCUGGGAUUAACUGCCUCGGGAAUGCCAUUUCUGACAGCCCAGCCGUACCCCUGUGUGCUGGGAAAGGGCAGCAGGGAAGAGGCAAAUGCCAGAGUUCCUUGGGGCUGACGGAGCUGUGGUGUUUGGCUGUGCCCAGGGGGGCAGGCUGGGCAUUGUUCGGGCACCCAAGGACUGGUCUGGGGCUGGGAGCCCGGGGAGCCGAGCUCUCGGUGCAUUCCCAGCUCUGCCAGCUGCUGCAGGGCUGGGUCCCAGCCUCUGCUGGGGCUGGGGCAGGAGCUGCAGGGGAGGGCUGGCAGGAUUUGGGAGCAGAGGGAGGAAAAUGAGGAAGGGUGCUGGGCAGCGCUCAGCCUGGUGCAAGGUCGGAGGGACUGGGUUUAUCUGUGGCUUUCCAGGCCAGCAAGAAACAAGGGGAAUGUGGUGCCAGAGCUGUGUCCCAUCGGGCUGCGCUUCCCUCUGAGCACAGAGAGUCUGGGCUGAGGGGAGAUUGCUGCGAGUGCCCCGUGAGCAAUCCAGGGAACUCGGAAUUGCAUCCGCUGCUGGGAACACUGCCUGAGCUCUGCUCAGGCUGUGUCUGCGAGGAGUGGGAUUUGGGCUGCACAGGUGCUGCUGGGCACAGAAAAUGGAGUAAAUCCUCUCCAGGGACGUGCAGUGAAGGACAGUGCAGCAGGGAAGGGGAGUAUUUACAAAUUGUAUCAGUAUUUCUCCCAAAACUGGGAGAAAUGGGGUGGAGCAGAGAUGGGGGUGGUUUGGUUUUGUCUGGGCCGGUUAUUCCUCGUGCAAUGUUUUAAAUCUGUUGUAUGAUUUUCUCUCCAGUAUCUUUCCAACAAAAGCUGACAGAAAUUUAGGUUCAGGGUUAGAAGUUGGGUCCAUUCACUGCAAAACCUUGCCCAGGCUGGAGGACUGGGGUGAUGGCUGCUCUCAGCAAAGGUUACCUGUGAAUACCGUGUCAGAUUUCCCUCAAUGCUGGGCAGGAAAGGUGAGGGUUUGGAUCAGGAAUUCUGCAAACAAGGCCUGUGUGAUGUUGGUUUAUUGUGUUUUUCAGGGAGCCAGGGCUGGCACAAGGACUCGUGCAGGUGCUGCUCUGGCACUGGAGCUGUUGCCCUGUGGAGCCAUUUUAAAGGUGUGAUUAUGGAACAUUUUGGAGGCUGUUUCUGGAAUUCCAUUUGUAGCUGGAUCUCGCUCCGAGUGCAGCAGUCCAGGUGAGGGUUCUGACCUCUCCAGACUUGUGCUCACCUUGGUACAGCCCGGGGCUGGAGCAGUUUUCCAGGGAAGUGGAGAUGGCUGAGGAUGGGUGCUCUGGAAAGCAGGGACCUGCUGGGAUUUGCAUUUGCAAAGCUGCCGUGAAGUUUGUAAAACCAGCAGGAAAUUCUAAUUCCUGUGGUUUUUGGGGAGGAGGUGCAGGUCACCCUGAGAGCUAGAUCAGAACUGGUUUGUGGUAAGGAGUCUGAGGUGUGUAAGUGCCACAGCUGGUAUGAGCUGUGUGCUAAAUGCAGUCCCAGCCCCAGAGGGAGGCUGAUGGGCUCUGCUCAUUGCUGUCCCCAGCUGUCCCCAGCCCGCUGCUCCCCCGUGGAUCUGCUCUGGAUUCGGGCUGUCGGUGCUGGAGCGCCCUGCUCCCUGCAGGGCCCUGCCCCUAACCCUCGCAGAGAGAGAGAGCCCUGCUGGCCAGAGUGAUCUUUUUUCAUUUUUUCUCCCUGUGCUGUUAGCAAGGAAGGGAUGGGACUGCUCUUGGGCCGGGAGCACUCAGUGCUCAGGUGAACACCCGCCUGGGAGCGUGAGGGUUUGCAGAGCGAGCAGCUGCUGCGGCUCAGGAGCAGCCACAAGUUCUUUGUUCCAAGGCAGGCCAGAACUUUCUAACCCCGGGGUUUAUUUGGCUUUUCGAACCCAUCACCUCUGCUCAGUUCUGCCGCACUGAGGGUACUUUUGUUCAAUGCCUUCUGUUGGAACUUGUCAGCUCUCAGUGUAGCGCACACAGCCCCAGCCCUGCCCUGCAAACCCUUCCCCAUCGUGCCCACACAGUUUCCUCUCUCACUCACUCGGGGCAGGUUCUUACUGACAGCCACAGAAACAGAAGUUAUUUUAUGUUGUUUUAUUCUUUUCCUGCGUAAUGCCCGUGUCUUGUAUUGGUACAUCAAUCCCAGCUUCUCCCGAGGCUGCAGAUCAAAUCUUUCAGUGUCUGUGGGAGUUUCUGGUUUUCCCAUUCCCACGUCUCCCCUCUCUCUCUGUAUGAAAAAAAAAAUUUAAUAAUGGAUUUGUUAAGCAUUUGUUGCAUAAAUUAACAUACAGAAGGUGUUAUCAUUAGUAUUAUUAUUGUAAUAAUAUAAUUAAAAUGUAUACUUUUGUUACAAGAUUUUUUAAUUAUGGUGUUAAAUUUUAUUUAUUGUUAUGUUUUAUUAGUUAUUCUUAUUUUUGAUAUUUCUUAAAGUUGUACACUUUAAUAAGUAGAUUUGGUGUUUUAGAUAAAUGUAUACAUUUUAUUAAAUUUUUAUAUUUAUAUUUGUAUGUUAAUAAAAUAAAUUUUUUUGUUGGUUUUUUGGUAAAACUGCGUAUUUAAUAGUUUUAUAUUUGUUUAAAAGUUAUUUAGGGUAAGGGAUGUCGAAUUAGAUUGUUUAUUUAGAUAAUAUUUUAAUUGAUUUAAUUGUUUUAGUGUUGUUGAAGUAAUAGGUGGUAUAAAAACUGAUGCUACCAUUUUGAUUUUAAGUUUCAAGGCUUAAAAUUACUUUUAUAUUUUGAUUACUAUUGAUGGAUAAAUGCCUUUUUUGUUUUAAAUUGGUAGCUAUUUUAAUAUUAAGAGUUAAUAAUGUAAGGGCUUUUUAAUUAUAUGGACUAUUUGUAAUGGUUUUUAUUGGUAUCUUAAGUAAGUAAGUAAAGAAUGGAUUUUUUUGAGUAGUGCUAGAUAAAUACAAAGCAUUUAAACUUGAAACUUUAGUUAAAGUUACUUAAAUGUUUGUUUUAGGUUGGUUAAUUGGUAAAGUGACAUAAUUAAAAGUAAAUAAAGUAGAGUAGAAGUAAAAUAUUUGAUAUAAUUUCAUAAUUUGUAAGUUACUAAAUAAGAUUUUUAUAACAUUGAUUUUUAUAUUUAUAAAGAAACUUACAGUUUAUAUAUUUUGGUGGGUGUAGUACACGAUGUUAGGUGUAAGUUGCAAUUCUUGUGUAAUCUGCGUUUGUAUUUCCAUAGUGUAAUUUGUCUUUGUAUUUACAUUGGUGUUUUAUUUGUGGAGCGGUGAGUGUGUUUUUUGUGUGAUCUGAUUUUAUGUUUCUUAUUGAAAUUUACUUGGGUUUUUGUACUUGUUGAGAUAUAAGUAAACUUUAUGUUUUGAUAUGAGAAAUAAUGAUAUAAGUUGUUAUAAUUUUUCAGUUAUAAGUAUGAAGAAAUAUAAGAGUAAAAUAAUGUAUGUAGUAAAGAAGAAAUUGAUAAUAAUUAGGAAUUACUUAGGUAAUAUCUAUAAUUAGUAACAUAGGUGAAAUUAUAUAAUUAGUAAGUAUUAAAAGAUUGUACAUACUUUUAGAGUUUAUAACAGUUGAUAAAUAUUAAAUUAGUGGUAAGUUAAAUAAUUAUGUGUGGAUAAUGAUUUUUCAAGUUUAUUUUAAAAAUAAGUUUAUUUGUUAUAUUGUUAAAGUUAAAUUGUUAAGUUAAAAUUAUUUGAAUUUAUUUUUGACGUAGAAAAUAUUUGGGUUUGUUGUUAAUUAUUUUAUUUAGGUAGAGUUAGGGUUAGGUUAUAGUUUAAAUUUUAAUUGGUGAAUGUUAUUUAAUAUAUUUUUAUAUAAUGUUUUUAAAAAUAGUAGUUAAGAGUAAAAAUGUUAGGAUUAAAGAUUAAUUACAUUAUUUAAUAAUUGGAUUUUUUUAGAAGUUUUUUAGAAUAGAGAUGCUUUGAAUAUAGUAAACUUCUUUUUAAAGAUUUGAAAGUGGUUAUGGACAGGAUUGUGAGUUUGGAUUUGGAUAUUGAGAGUGUGAAGGUGGAGGAAAUGUAUGAGAGAGUGAUUACUUAGUGUGAAACUUAGAAAAAGAAAUUAAUGUUGUAGUUGGAUUUUGUAUUCAAGUGAUUUUGUAAUAAUAACUGAGGAAAGUGAUAAGAUUAACAGUUUGGAGGAGGUUUUUAAUGAAAUACCUUUUUAAUCUUGAAAAAUAGUUUAAAUUAUGAUAGAACAUUAAGUUAAAUUAUAGAGUUAGUGUAGAGAUUAGUUAGAGAGUUAACUUGGUUUAAGCGCUGUAUAAGUUGAGAAUAAAAAAGUAGGAAUUAGAAAUUUUAUGUGUUUUUUUUAGAUCAUUCUAUAAAGAGAUAAUAAAGUAUAUGAAAGUUGGUUGUAAAUAUCAUAACAAUAUUUAAUAAAUAUUGUUUAUUAUAAAAGAUAAUAUAUUGAUAUAAUAUAAUUAGUAUAUUAGUGGUAAGUGUUUGAAGAAGUUAGGAUAACUUUUAAAAAAUAUUUAUAUAUUAAGGAAAUAGAGUAAAAUUUUCAAACAGCAUGAUAUGAAUAGUAAUUGCUAUUUUUUGGUGUUGCUUCUAAAAGAUAAGAGUAGAGAUUGUAAUGAAGUACAGAAUUUUUGAUGAAAUUGAUGAUAUAAUACAGUGUACUUUUUUUUACUUCUGAAUAGGUGUUUGUUAGUGUUUUCUUUUAGUUGUUUUAAUUGGAGGUGUUUUAAUUUUUUAAGAAAAUUGACCAUAUACUGUAUAGUUUAGAGAAAUGAUUUUCAAUAAAAUUUAGCAUAAGUUAUAUUAAAUAACAUUUAAAUUUAGACUGAAUUAAUUUUGAUAGUAAGGAAUAAUAAACUUAAUUUUAAUUGAUAAAAAGAAAAUGUAUUUGUUUAAAUGUAUUGACACUUAAUUUUGUUUGAUUUCAUUAAUACCUAACAUAUUUAAUGUUAUUACUUAUAA